GUGGGCAGUCAUGCUCGUCAGACACCUGCAAAAGUCUUUUUCAAGGUUAUAAGGCCGUUGGUUGUUACAAAAACAGCUCAAAUGAGUCACUGCCUGAUAUUGGAAGUCGCGCAAUUGAAACAUUAGAGGGAAAGGAUGCCAUCUUUGACGAUGCUCACAAUUCUCAUGCAAAUCCAAUCGCAAAUUGCGCCGUGGCUACCAUGAGAAAGGGUUACAGUAUCUUUGCAGUUCAGAAUGGCGGCUGGUGUACAGCAAGUGCUACCACUUUAGAGACGUUUGACAAAUAUGGAGAAUCUAUGGAUUGUGAAGCUAAUGGAAGUGGAGGACCCGCAGCUCACAACAUAUAUUUACUCAAAGGACUGUACCACGUUUCAGCGUUCGAUG